GCUGAAACCAAGAGUCAGACGUUUAACCGACUGAGCCACCCAGGUGCCACAGAUUUUGUUUUUGAUUUCCAAAAUGUACCAUCUCUAAUCUGGGAUUUACAGGACCUUUCUCAAUUAUGUGUCCUCUCUCCCUCAAGAGAAGAACAAGAAUCUGCUCAUCUCUUCAUCCCCAGGAUCCGAGCACCCUUAACAUACUCACCUGAUAGGUAAAUAAAGGACAAUUUAUCCAUUUGCCUCACUUCCGAAAUUUCAGCGUUGAACUAUCUUCUGGUUUCUACCCUUCUUUACCUGCCUCAAAUGGCAGCUUAUAGUAUAGUGGAAGUUUAACUGUAGCUGGUAAUUAUUGAGCACUUACUAUAGGUAGACGUGACAUAAAAUGCUUUAAUAUAAUCUUCACAUCAAAUCUGUGGAGGGAGCACUGCUACUGUCAUUACAUAACAAUGAGGAAAUAAAGUUUAGAGAAAUGAAUUAAUUCACCCAGGGUCACAAAAUUAUUCACUGGUGGAACUACAAGCCAAGACUAGGCCGUCUGGUUUUAGAUCAACUCCGAACUGCUCUUUUGUAGCAGAUCCACUGAUGCCCACAACCUGAGUGCCUGGCAUCAGAACUGUUCAUAGUACGUACUUAGUAAACUUCAACGGAAUGAACAAACAAAUAUUCAUUGCAUUUAGAUUUCUACCCAUAAUAUAUGGGCCUGGGGAUGGGUUACCCUUCAUUCCUCUAAUUUAGGAUAUCUUUUAUUCAUUUAUUUUGACAGAGAGAGAGAGAGAGCGAGAGCAAGCAGUAGAGUGGCAGAGAGCACGGGAGAGAGAGAAUCCCAAGCAGGCUCCAUGCAGUCACGAUCUGAGCCAAACUCAAGAGGCAGACACUUAACCGACUGACCACCCAGGCGCCCCUAAGUUAGGGUAUCUUCUAGUCCAUCAGAUGUAUCCAACCCUUGCUUUUAGUAUAUUCUUACAUGAUGAACAUUAAUAAUUAAGAAUAUGUUGAUGCUCUAAGAUUACAGAGAAGAAAGGGAAAAAUUAGGAUAGAAACAUAGCACUAAAUAUCGAAAGUCCUGGGGGUGCUUACUUAUUUCUAUCGCAGGAAGCAGUGGUCUCAAAGCAAUGUGCCACACUGCCGCGCCUGUGAUUCUGGAAGGCCAGGAUGAUCCUGGUGCCAGAUGGGGAGCCAUGUGAGGGUGUUGCCCUUGAAAACUGGCAAGAGGGUGGAGGCGAUUGCGGGCAGUAACCACUGGAAAUGAUAGGGUGGGGAUCUGUGCUUGGUGGCUUCACUUGCCGCCUAGAAUUAGCACCUGCAGCAUCUUUGGCAUGUGGACCAGGGAUUGCCAACCGCCAACCUUCGGGAUUGUUGUUUACUAUUUGCUGUGAGUAUAAAGCAUCCGUGUUAAAUAUGGGUUGUUGAGGGCAGAAUUUUGUCUGAAAGGAGGGCAGGAAUGUAGUCCCACUGGAUGAAAACAUGACUCUUCCCCCCAACUAGCAGUGCAGGGUCUUACUCUCCGCGCUUUCUUGACAAACUUUAUUGGUUCAUUUUGAUUUGUCUUUUUUUAAUCAGUGUUUCUCUGUUUUUUGUUUUAAUUUUUACUUUUGAAAUCGUUUGAUCGCAAAAGGAGGCGGAUUCUUGAACACGUCUGGAUUUAGUCCACACGGCGCUGGCUCAGAGUUGGGGUGCGUGGGUUCUCAGCUCCCUGCACUAACUCACUGUGUUAGAAAAGUUGCCUAACUCCUCUGGCCUUCAGUUUCCUCAUCUGUAAAAUGAAACGUUGAGCUAGACGAUCUUUAAGAGUCUUUCUUAUUUUCUAGUUUUCUGUCCCUUGGUUGAUUUCCUCUCAUUUCAUUGGAAUUUGGAUUUUCAUUUUUUCAGAGGAGUAAAAAUUAAGUUCCACGUGAAGAAAAUGAAAUGGACUCAAAGAUAACCACAUGUCCUGGGCCUUAAACAUCGUAGGAACUCAAGAGUAACUGCCCGAGUCAGUAAGUGAGUUGAAUACUUUAGUGCUCUCUUGAAACUGCAUAAUAGGAAGUGAAAUGCCUUCUCUUUAGAAAAGGAAGUUUUAUUAGCCUCCUUGGAUCUUAUUAAAUGGAACUUUCAUUGGGAAAGAUUCUAGAACCAGAAAUCAAACUUUGUAUCUAAUUUGGUAUUUCUGUUGCCCACAUUGUAAGUAAUUGUUGUAUCUUGUACUUAUCGAGCACUUACUAAGUGUCAGGCAUUGUACGGAGAUAUACGCGUUAUUAUCUCGCCCAAAUUUCAUGACAAUUCUGAGUUUAAUGAGCUGAGUGCUUUUUAUUGCACUCAUAAAAAAAGAAAGAAAGAAAGAGAGAGAGAAAGAAAGAAGGAAAGAAAGAAAGACACAGAGACUGAGAGCUUUCCUGUGAUUACAAGUACGUGACAGCUGGGGCUCUAAUCCAGGUCGGCCUGACUCCAGAAACCACACCCACCGCCACUAAGCACAGGGCCUCUCUGUAGCCUAGACCCAGGGAAUCUUUUUCCGUCAAUUGUUAGGUAACAUUCAAGAAAAUCAGCCUGAAUGUUCUGAAAACCCAUUAAAAAAAAAAGAUAAAAAUAGAGCUAGCAGAGUUUUCAAUACCUAUAUAAUGAACAAAACAGUAAUAUACACAUCAGUUUUUUAACUGAGCAAAAAUUACGUAGAUAUAAGUGGAGACAAAUGAGCCAUGCACUGUAGAACGAGUAACAACCACUCGUGAAUAUGAUGAUAGAUGUACAGGCUCUCUAGUAAUUAGAGAAACAAAUCUUAAAGCAUGAGAUACCACUUUUUGCCCGUUAAAUGGGACUAAAAUAAAAAGAUGAAUAUUUUCCAAUGUUGCUGAGCGUGUGGGCGAUAGUCUGGAUGGCAAUAUAAAUUGAUUCAGUGAUAAUUUGGGAAUAUAUCUUCAAAAAUUAAAGUUCGCACUCCUUUUAAUGCAGCAACUCCAAUUCUAGGAACGUAUCCUACAGAGAUAUUCAUAUAUAUGUGCAAAAUAUAUACAUGUACAUUUAUUUUAAAUUGAAGCAUUAUUUACAAUAGUGAAUGUCACAAACUAAUAUCCUUCAGUAGUGAGUUUGUUAAAUAAAACAUUAUAAAUCUA